CCUACGGGAGGCAGCAGUGGGGAAUAUUGCACAAUGGGGGAAACCCUGAUGCAGCGACGCCGCGUGAAGGAAGAAGUAUUUCGGUAUGUAAACUUCUAUCAGCAGGGAAGAAAAUGACGGUACCUGACUAAGAAGCCCCGGCUAACUACGUGCCAGCAGCCGCGGUAAUACGUAGGGGGCAAGCGUUAUCCGGAUUUACUGGGUGGAAAGGGAGCGUAGGCGGUUUAGCAAGUCAGAAGUGAAAGCCCGGGGCUCAACCCCCGGACUGCUCUGGAAACUGUACGGCUGGAGUGCAGGAGAGGUAAGUGGAAUUCCUAGUGUAGCGGUGAAAUGCGUAGAUAUUAGGAGGAACACCAGUGGCGAAGGCGGCUUACUGGACUGUAACUGACGUUGAGGCUCGAAAGCGUGGGGAGCAAACAGGAUUAGAUACCCGGGUAGUC
rnacentral:rRNA from 1 species